rnacentral:rRNA from 1 species
AGUCGAGGGGUAACAUAGUUGCUUGCAACUGAUGACGACCGGCGCACGGGUGCGUAACGCGUAUAGUACCUACCUUAUAGUAAGGGAUAGCCCAGAGAAAUUUGGAUUAAUACCUUAUAGUAUCCUAAGUGAGCCUUCACUAAGGAUUAAAGAUUUAUCGCUAUAAGAUGGCUAUGCGUUCUAUUAGCUAGUUGGUAUGGUAACGGCAUACCAAGGCUACGAUAGAUAGGGGUCCUGAGAGGGAGAUCCCCCACACUGGUACUGAGACACGGACCAGACUCCUACGGGAGGCAGCAGUGAGGAAUAUUGGACAAUGGAGGCAACUCUGAUCCAGCCAUGCCGCGUGUAGGAAGACUGCCCUAUGGGUUGUAAACUACUUUUAUAGAGGAAGAAACCAUUUCACGUGUGAAAUGCUGACGGUACUCUACGAAUAAGGAUCGGCUAACUCCGUGCCAGCAGCCGCGGUAAUACGGAGGAUCCAAGCGUUAUCCGGAAUCAUUGGGUUUAAAGGGUCCGUAGGCGGUUUAGUAAGUCAGUGGUGAAAGUUUUCGGCUCAACCGGAAAAUUGCCAUUGAUACUGCAAGACUUGAAUUAUUGUGAAGUGGUUAGAAUGUGUAGUGUAGCGGUGAAAUGCAUAGAUAUUACACAGAAUACCGAUUGCGAAGGCAGAUCACUAACAAUUAAUUGACGCUAAGGGACGAAAGCGUGGGUAGCGAACAGGAUUAGAUACCCUGGUAGUCCACGCCGUAAACGAUGGUUACUAGCUGUUUGGACUUCGGUCUGAGUGGCUAAGCGAAAGUGAUAAGUAACCCACCUGGGGAGUACGUUCGCAAGAAUGAAACUCAAAGGAAUUGACGGGGGCCCGCACAAGCGGUGGAGCAUGUGGUUUAAUUCGAUGAUACGCGAGGAACCUUACCAGGGCUUAAAUGUAGAUUGACAGGUUUAGAGAUAGACUUUUCUUCGGACAAUUUACA